GUACUAAUGAAGAGUCCUAUAAUAGAAUGAAACAGCUUUCCAGUAC
rnacentral:hammerhead_ribozyme from 1 species